rnacentral:misc_RNA from 1 species
CGCAGAUAGCCUCAUCUCCGCACCACACGCGAGGACAUCAACUUAGCCGAGAAUUGUGUUAAAGAGGUGAUGGGAGACAUACCCAACUCAAUUUAGCUGAGGAUCACCUCAGCUAAUCGGGUCUCACCUCUCAGGUGGGUUCGGUGAUAGGCAAGCUCAGCUCUACAUUAGACUGAGGCUCAUCUGCGAUUUGGUUCCUACCCCACCCAAUAAUGCCAGAGAGCCAACAAUGCCAGAGAGCCAACUUGUUUGCUUAUCGAGACCAGCACCUCCACAUUCAAAGGCGAUAAGAAAAGGGGAUCCAAACCCAAAUCGCAGGCAACUAAUUCUUCCAUGUUGGCCAUCGAUGAAGAUUGGGUCACUAAGUAUGGCCGCCAAGUCUGUUCUUCUAUUCCCAUUUACUUCUUAAUUA